GCCUUCCUGGCCAUUGUUCCCGCGUUGGGACUAUUCCCAGAUGACCGAGUGUAAUUAGAAUGGUACAACAACCAUCCCUUAGCCCAACCUGAUUUCGUUAAUUGAGAAGCCCCCGCAACAACGGACGGGUCCGACAUUUUUCGCUCCAGAAUAUUAAAGCUGUGUUUCGGGUAUAAUCAGACUACAAACUCCAUUGUAGCUCCUUUGCUUGGCCUGUGAAAGAGUUGGGACUAUGGGACAACGCAGAAGGCUAGAAAUAGCUCUGGGUCUGCUGAUAGUAGUCUUUUCCAGUACAUGUAAUGCUUCAAACACAACGAGGCGUUUCCAUGUUUCUUGGUCCAGCAAU